rnacentral:tRNA from 1 species
AUCUAUAUAGUAUAAUAUUAUUAUAUUUGACUUCCAAUCAAAUGAUCUAUUUAAAUAGUAUAGAUA